rnacentral:rRNA from 1 species
CCUACGGGAGGCAGCAGUGAGGAAUAUUGGUCAAUGGGCGCGAGCCUGAACCAGCCAAGUAGCGUGAAGGAUGACUGCCCUACGGGUUGUAAACUUCUUUUAUAAAGGAAUAAAGUGAGGCACGCGUGCCUUUUUGUAUGUACUUUAUGAAUACGGAUCGGCUAACUCCGUGCCAGCAGCCGCGGUAAUACGGAGGAUCCGAGCGUUAUCCGGAUUGAUUGGGUUUAAAGGGAGCGUAGAUGGGUUGUUAAGUCAGUUGUGAAAGUUUGCGGCUCAACCGUAAAAUUGCAAUUGAUACUGGGAGUCUUGAGUACAGUAGAGGUAGGCGGAAUGCGUGGUGUAGCGGUGAAAUGCAUAGAUAUCACGCAGAACUCCGAUUGCGAAGGCAGCAUACCGGAGCCCGACUGACGCUGAGGCACGAAAGCGUGGGGAUCGAACAGGAUUAGAUACCCGGGUAAUC